UUUAGGAGAACUACACAUAUAAAGAUCCCCCCUUUCCUAUCUCCAUCUUAAAUUCCCAUCCUUUAUCGCUGUGGAUCGAAUAAGAUAGAAGCCUUUGGAGAGAGAUGCUGAUCGAUUCUCAAGGGAUCCGAUCUUCCUCAUCUACCAUGUACCUACCAUUGGAGAGAGAUACUAUUCUAACUUCCGACGAUCUUUGUUCAAAACUGAGUUCAACCUCGACAUCGGAUGGGACGAGUAGAAAAAUAAAGGUAAAUAACGUUUCGAUUUUUGUUGAAUUGAUGUAUUAGGAGAGAAAAUGAAAAACAUAUUUUUUUAAAUUUAAUCUGAUCUUAUUCAUUAUAAUAAUAAAAUUUCAGUUAUUAUUGCAACAGCCAACAGGAUUUUUCAAUAAUUGAGUCUUGUGAAAUUUAUUUUUUGGAUUUAUUGCGAUUGCAAAGUGAGAAGCAGCAGCAAUGGUGGUUCUCAGUUGAUGACGUAUGCUGCCAAUUAUUCAUCAAAUGAUAAUUCUGCACAAUCCUCUCUUGGUUAUGGUUGUUU
rnacentral:lncRNA from 1 species